CAGUCGAAAGAAUGAGGUGGCCUCAUGUAGGUGGAUCUCUAACAUAUAUUAGGUUGAAAAGCAGAGCAAGUGAAUGACAAGGUGCAGGAUAAUACGCAUAACAUGCUCACAUUUGAGUAAGAAAAUCCUAUUAAUGCGUGUGCUUGUGUAUGCGUGGAAGCGCUUCUGGAAGGACAUCGAAGAUGCUGGGGAGAGUGAUUGCCUCUGAGAAGAUAACUGGGAGGCUGGGGUGCCAGGAGGGAGGAAGAUGUGCUUCUCACAGUAUGUCCUUGGAUUGCUUACAUUACCAUGUUCAGUGCACAAUGUAUCAGAUCCUUCUUUCAUGCCCCCUCCCCUGUCCCCCGACAGCUGCAAGACAGGGAGGGAGUGAUGGCCUGAGCUAGUGAGACCUGAAACACAGGGCCUGACUGAUGGCCCCAAGGUGAGGGUGUGGGUGAGGACACACCCAGCGUGCCAGUGUCUGUUUUGUGCUGAUGAACAGAUUUGUCAUUGGCACUUUUGCAAAACUGCAAUGAAAUUCUGGCUCAGGGCACAAUCACCCAGCUGGGGCCCCGAGGCUUUUGGAAGUCACCCGUGGACAGCUUGUCAGCAAAUCUUUAUGGAGCAACAACUCUGUGCUAGGUGCUGAGUACACAGUGAUGAGCAAAACAUGCAAAGACCGUGCCCUCUUCAACUUGGAUGGCCAGUGGGGAUUAGGAAAACAAAUAAGUCAACAAACCCACAAUACCAUCAGUGUUGUGUUCAAGUAGGCUAUGCAGAGGGACAGGAGGGCCUGAGGGCUGCUUCAUACAGGGUGAGGAUGGAGGGGUUCUGAGGAGGGAUGCCCAGGCUGAGACCCAAAAGGUGAAAAUGAGCUGAUAGGGAGAGGUGGGUGGCAGCCAGGAGUGAGUAGAAUUACAGGUGGAGGGACCAUGUUGGGAGGCUCCACGGAGGACAGUCUGGAAGGACUGAAGGACAGCCAAUGUGGCCAAAGAGUAGUGAGUGUGAGAGAGGGGGAGCCAGGUGAGGUUGGUGGGGAGGCGGUAGGGACGCCACGCUCCUGCUGCCCUGACUGUGGGGCACAGGGUGGCAGUCAGGCCUGUGGGUCACCCACCUUCUCAGGGGCUGGCAUUUGCCUUUUCUUGCCUUGCCCUUUCAGUUGGAUGCAACCACUCCAUGACUCCAGUGGAGGAUGAGACCCUGGGAUCAGUUCCUGCCCUGGCCACAGGCUUUGCUCACCCUAUGUUCUAAUGAUCAGUAUUUCUGCAGUAACAUCUUGCAGAAAUAGUUUUAGUUCACCCAUGCUGAGGUGGAGGCAGGGAAAACCAGGACUGAGUUGAAAAUGCUCCAGGUUUCAUGUGCCUUUUCCGUGUUCUAGGUGAUCAAGAUUUCUGCAAUAGUAUCCUGCAGAAUUAGGUGGUGUGGACAAGGGGGCUUCAGGGUGCAUCAGGCAACAUUAUGUUUGGCUGCAUGGGACAGAAAAUGCCAGAUCAUGUAGCUUUAAGAAGAUAGAGUUUUAUUUUUUGUAGAUAAACAAAGUUUGGAGGUAAAUCUAGACCCUUGAAUUAGUCCUAGAUCAUCCAUAAGAAGCUACCACAUGGCCCAAGAUGGCUGCUCAAAUGCCAGCAGUUGCAUCUACAUUUCAGACAGGAGGAGGAAUGUGUGGGGAAGAGAAGGGCACACUUCUGUUUAAGGUCCCUUCAUGGAAAUCGUAUAUGAUUUACUUCUGCCUGUAUUUCAUUGUCCAGAAUUUAUCCCAGGGCUGCCCCUAGCUGCAGGAAGAGCUGGGAAAGGUAGUUUUUAUUCUGGGUGGCGAUGUGCCAAGCUAAAGACAUCAGGGGUUCCAUGUUAAAGGAGGAAGAGGGAAAUGAAGAAUGCCAGACACAGCAUUUUCUGCCACAUAUGAUCAAAUAAAUUUGAGAAAUACUUGGUUAAACAAAAUGAAAUAGGCUUCUUCACUGCAGAAUGUCUCAACCUUUAGUGCGCUCAUGGACAUUGCUAAUCUGUAAAAGAGGCUGUAGUAGUAUGUAGCCUUUCCAAAAUGUAUUAAAUGAUAGAAUUGGUGUGUGUGUGUGAAGCACCUUACGGAAUUGGUGUUCUGCAGAGGCUAUUCAGGUAAACGUAGUCCUUGAUUAUAGAGUUCAAAAAUAACCAAGCUAGGCAACAUGCUUUCAUUUUAAAGACUAAAUGCCAUUCCUUCAAUCAGCCUAGACCACCUACCCUGGAAACGACAGGCCCUGGGCCAAGUGCUGGGAUAUAUGGCUGAGUCAUGAUUCCUGCUCUCAAUAAGUUCAAAGUCAAGAGAGACACAUUCUCAGCAAAAUAAUGACAAGAAAUGCCAGAAUAGAACCUGGACUGGAAGAAUGUGACAUUGGCCUGCAGAAUCAGGUGGCUGGGGUGGAGGCUGUGGACAGCAUAGAGUGGGGUGGGCGGAAAAGGGUUGGUGCAAGGCAGUGAGUCUGGAGGGGUGAGUGCAGCCAGUGGUGAAAAGCCUCAAGUGCUGUGCCAAGGAUGUGUGCCUUCUCGUUGUGGCACCUGGAAGGAGACUGCGGGGUGCAGAAGGGCCAUGUACCAGGGAGUGGAUCGUGAUCUUUCCUCCUCCCUGGCUCCCAGCCUGCUGCCCGUAUGAAGGGCUUCUUCCUGUCCCGACACAAGACAGUGAAUUGGUCACCAGAACACAUAGCCCUCCUCCCGUUGCAAAGCUCUGUCAUCUCCUUUCUCUUACAUUGUCACAAGAAGCCUCUCCCUGGCUGCUGGUGCUUUGCUGGCAAUCUUUGGCGUUCCUUGGCUUAUAGCCGCAUCAGCCAGGUCUCUGCCUUCAUCUUCUUGUGUGUCUGUCUUCAAAUUUCUGCUUUUUAUAAGGACACGAGUUGUAUCAGAUUGGGGUCCACCCUCUUCCACUGUGACCUCAUCUUAACGAAUUACCUCUGUUAUGCUUCUGCUUCCAAAUAAGGCCACAUGCUUAGGUACUACAGGUUAGGAUUUGAACAUCUGAAUUUUGGGGUGGACUCAAUUUAGCUCAUAACAGAGGCCCAUCAGAAAUCUCGCCUCCUCCAGGAAGCCUUCUGCACUCAAAACCAGGCAAUCCCCCUUUCUGGAACUCCCAUAGCACAUAAUGUCUGAGGAACUCAGUGGCCCAGGGCCACUUGGGUAUUUAUAUUCUGUCUCUCUGAGGCUGGACUUAACUCUGGGUCGAUGGCAUUUAUAGUUUUUGAAAACAAGUGCAGCACAGCGGAAGCCCUUUUAUCUGAUGUUAUUAGGACUGGUAGUUGGGUAGUAAACUGAAAAUCCAAAAGGAAUGCCAGAAAGCAGCAUGGCUCAACAUGCGGUAGGCGGAAGAUUGAUGCAGGAGUAGAGAGCAAAGGUUAACCACUGUGUUAGUGAAAUCGACGUUGGCUGGGAGAGAUUCUCCUGCACAAAAACAAACAGCAGCCACCAAAGCCCAAGAUGGAUGAAAUCUGGAUGCGAAGUUAUCCAGCUUCCCAUUGAGAGUGGAUUUCCUUUUAAAGAAACCAUCAAUACUCUGUGUCAUUUAAGACUCCUAUCUGGUUUGGGUGUCAAGGGAAGUGGCCAUACAAGCUGUUUGGGACUUUAAAAGUGGAAUGGAAUCCAGGACACAGUGAGGGUCCCCUACAGAACCUGAAUGAUUUUGUUUUUGUUUUUUGAGAUGGAGUCUUGCUCUGUUGCCCAGGCUGGAGUGCAGUGGCACGAUCUUGGCCCACUGCAACCUCCGCCUCCCGGGUUCAAGCGAUUCUCCUGCCUCAGCCUCCCGAAUAGCUGGGAUUACAUGUGUGUGCCACCAUGUCUGGCUAAUUUUUGUAUUUUUAGUAGAGACUGGGUUUCACCAUGUUGGCCAAGCUGGUCUCAAACUCCUGACCUCAGGUGAUCUGCCCGCCUUGGCCUCCCAAAGUACUGGGAUUACAGGUGUGAGCCACUGCACCUGGCUGGGAACCUGAAUAAUUUUGGAAAAUAAAGUUGUCUUUUGAGAGUUAAACUAUAAAACAAACAUAAUAGGCCCAAAGCAGGGAGUGGCAAAGACUUUGUUUCACCUGCUUCACAGUGUCAACAUAGCCCCAAAAGAUUGGCCAUCAGAACUGUGUGUGUGUGUGUGUGUGCAAGUGUGUGUGAAUGUAUGUAUGUGUGUUGUGUAUGGCAGUGUAUGCAUGUGAGUGUGAGUGUGAGCAUGUCUGUGGGCAUGUGGGCUUGUGUAAUGUGUAUGAUCAUGUGCAUGUGUGUGUGAGUGGGUGUGGAUGUGUGGACAGCCAGGGAGGCCAAGGAGAGGGAGAGCAUACUGCCUUUGCCUAGAAAGGUGUAGCAAAGCCAGGCAGUGUGUCCCUGGCUUUCCCCAGGGGAAGAGGGGGACACUGGGCCAGAAACUUGAGCUCCUGGCCUCUGCUGAAUCUCUGUGCAUUCAAGGGGAGAUAUGUGCAUGAAGUCAUUGCAGUGUGACGCCUCUGUACUCAUCAGAUCACCCACGUCAUCUAAUGCACUCCCAUCACAUUCCAGACUCAGUGCUGCCAUCAGCUCCCUAGGAGCUCUCCCUCCAGGAAGGGAAUGUGUCCACCGUCAGACACUCAGACCCAGCAUGUGGGGACAGAGGCUGAUGGCCUGUCUGGCCAUUCCUCUCAGUUCCUCUCCUCACUAGCUUGUGUCCUUGUGCAAGUCACUUACCCUCUCUGAGGUUCAGUUCCCUCCUCUUUGAAGUGGGUUUAAUAAUAGUACCUGCCACAUAGGUUGUGAAGAUUGAUGAGAUUAACCAUAUAAUGUGCUUAGCACAAUGCCUAAUGUAUGGCAAGCCUUCCAAAAGUAUACGCUACCAUCAUAAUGAUCAAUAUGAUAAUAAAUCAAAACAUCCGUAUUGUUUUUCAUAUGUG
rnacentral:lncRNA from 10 species